UACGUAGGUGGCAAGCGUUGUCCGGAAUUAUUGGGCGUAAAGCGCGCGCAGGCGGUCCUUUAAGUCUGAUGUGAAAGCCCACGGCUCAACCGUGGAGGGUCAUUGGAAACUGGGGGCCUUGAGUACAGAAGAGAAGAGUGGAAUUCCACGUGUAGCGGUGAAAUGCGUAGAGAUGUGGAGGAACACCAGUGGCGAAGGCGACUCUUUGGUCUGUAACUGACGCUGAGGCGCGAAAGCGUGGGGAGCAAACAGG
rnacentral:rRNA from 1 species